rnacentral:rRNA from 1 species
UACGUAGGGUGCAAGCGUUAAUCGGAAUUACUGGGCGUAAAGCGUGCGCAGGCGGUGAUGUAAGACAGGUGUGAAAUCCCCGGGCUUAACCUGGGAACUGGCAUUUGUGACUGCAUCGCUGGAGUGCGGCAGAGGGGGAUGGAAUUCCGCGUGUAGCAGUGAAAUGCGUAGAUAUGCGGAGGAACACCGAUGGCGAAGGCAAUCCCCUGGGCC